GCUUGUAGUGGCGCCGACACAGUCUUGUUGUCUCUGUUGUCGACAUUUUUACCCACAUCGAGGGUCACCAAAUGUGGAGAUGCCAUUCACAACAAGACAGGAGUUGAGGGUCAAGGGUGAGCCGAAGCCUAUCCCAGCCGAUUUCAGCUCUGCAGAGGUCUGUCCCAACAGCGAUUUGAACCCUGACCUCCAGACUAUGUGCCUUAUGUUCAUCGUUUGCAGCCAGUGGUCCGCGCACGUCUGGAUGUGAAUGUUUACCAAUCUAACACAGCGUGGCU